UUACCUCCCUCUCUCUCUCUCUUGCUAGGGUUUUCAAAACCCACUUUCGCUGCAAUCUCGUCGUCAAGAAAGGGUUUUCGAAACCCCCAUGCGCCGACGAAGACGCUGAUCUGCGAGCAGAUCCUGUGCUAGGGUUUUUUAAACCUCUUUCAUCCAACCAUCGUCACCACCCCUGCUCUUCCACUAGCCGGAAUCCCUAUGACCGCAGCCUUCGUUCGCAGCCACCGCCCGUGUAAUCCAUAGCUGCAACCUCUGUACUCCACCAGAGCCGCCACCUCCACCAACCGGCGCCAACGUUUGCCCCAUCGAGAGCUUGGACUAUGAGUAAUAUCCCACCCAACUCUGUACUCUUUUCGUUCUUCAUUCCCAGCAGCUGUUUGACAAAAUGUCUGUGUGGUAUGAGACUUGCAGAGUGGCCUCAAGGAGGGGCAAUAGGUCAAUUAGGUCGUGGUCGCUCGUGCUUUGUAAUGGGGACAGAAUAGUAGGGCCAUCAUUAUUUUGGUGAGUUCUUUGAUCUUGCUCUGUCCGAGGCUUACAUGUGGAUGGUCUUCUCAGAAACGGAAUGCCAACUUCCGGUGGGAUUGAGAAUGCCCAUGAGGCUUUUUAUGAAAUUCUAAAAGCAAAUUUCCUCCACUGGUAUUACAUUCUUUAAAGUUCUCUCAUCAGUUGGGAUUUCAUGCAUGGAAGUUGAAACAAUGCUCUUUUGGUCGUCAUCUCCACCAUAUGAAAUCCU